rnacentral:rRNA from 1 species
GACGAACGCUGGCGGCGUGCCUAAUACAUGCAAGUCGAACGAGAGCGACCGGUGCUUGCACUGGUCAAUCUAGUGGCGAACGGGUGAGUAACACGUGGGUAACCUGCCCAUCAGAGGGGGAUAACAUCCGGAAACGGAUGCUAAAACCGCAUAGGUCUUCGAGCCGCAUGGCUUGAAGAGGAAAAGAGGCGCAAGCUUCUGCUGAUGGAUGGACCCGCGGUGCAUUAGCUAGUUGGUGAGGUAACGGCUCACCAAGGCCGUGAUGCAUAGCCGACCUGAGAGGGUGAUCGGCCACAUUGGGACUGAGACACGGCCCAAACUCCUACGGGAGGCAGCAGUAGGGAAUCUUACGCAAUGGACGCAAGUCUGACGGAGCAACGCCGCGUGAGUGAAGAAGGUUUUCGGAUCGUAAAACUCUGUUGUUAGAGAAGAACAAGUGCUAGAGUAACUGUUAGCGCCUUGACGGUAGCUAACCAGAAAGCCACGGCUAACUACGUG